rnacentral:tRNA from 1 species
UGGGAGUGUGGCGAAAUAGGUAGACGCACCAGACUUAAAAUCUGUUGACCAUGUGGUCGUAAGAGUUCAAAUCUCUUCACUCCUAU